rnacentral:rRNA from 1 species
UCGCCCUGUUUUUUACAAAAACAUCGCCUCUUGAUUAAACAUAAGAGGUCCAGCCUGCCCAGUGACAUAGUUUAACGGCCGCGGUACCCUAACCGUGCGAAGGUAGCAUAAUCACUUGUUCUUUAAAUAGGGACUCGUAUCAACGGCAUCACGAGGGCUAUACUGUCUCCUUUCCCCAAUCAAUGAAACUGAUCUCCCCGUGAAGAAGCGGGGAUUAACCUAUAAGACGAGAAGACCCCAUGGAGCUUCAAACUCAACAUACACCUCUACGCACCUAAACCACUUUAGCCUAAGAGGCCUGUCUGUUAGUUUUGGGUUGGGGGGACCGCGGAGUAUAAAUUAACCUCCACGACAAACGGGCUUAAUGCCCUUAUCCACGAACUACAAUUCCAAGAAUCAAUAAACUGAUGUUUAUGACCCGAUUAUUCGAUCAACGAACCAAGUUACCCUGGGGAUAACAGCGCAAUCUACUUCAAGAGCCCCUAUCGACAAGUAGGUUUACGACCUCGAUGUUGGAUCAGGGUAUCCUAGUGGUGCAGCCGCUACUAAAGGUUCGUUUGUUCAACGAUUAAAACCCUACGUGAUCUGAUUCCCCAAACCGGA